GUCGAGCGGAGCAUUAACAAUAGUGCUUAGCGGCGGAUUGGCGAGUAACACGUGGGUAACCUGCCUCAUGCAGGGGGAUAGCCAACCGAAAGGUUGAUUAAUACCGCAUAAACCAGAGAGUAUGCAUAUAGUUUCUGGCAAAGGAGAAAUCCGGCAUGAGAUGGACCCGCGGCCCAUUAGCUAGUUGGUGAGAUAACGGCCCACCAAGGCGACGAUGGGUAGCCGAUCUGAGAGGAUGAACGGCCACAUUGGAACUGAGACACGGUCCAGACUCCUACGGGAGGCAGCAG
rnacentral:misc_RNA from 1 species